GUGAAUCAUCAAAUCUUUGAACGCAAAUUGCGCCUUUUUCGGAAGGCAUGUCUGUUUGAGGGCGCCAUUUAACAAAUAAUGUGCACCGUUUUGUGUGUGCACACGUUGAUGAGCUUUCCAGGAAAAAUUUUUUUUUUUUUUUUUUGGUGGCGUAUAAUGAACAGUUCGAUAGCUUUUUUUCAGUUUGAGUGUAUUAAAUUCUUUUUUU
rnacentral:misc_RNA from 1 species